rnacentral:rRNA from 1 species
AUCUACGACCAUACCACCCUGAACACACCCGAUCUCAUCUGAUCUCGGAAGCUAAGCAGGGUCGGGCCUGGUUAGUACUCAGAUGGGAGACCGGGUGCUGUAGGUG